AGCUCCCCAAAGCGCCCCCUCUGCCCGCUAGUCACCUCCUCCAGCAACACGUGUGCCUGGAAACGCAGAUGGCGGACUGUCUGAGGGCACCCCAAACCCAGGCAGUCUGUCAGAAGAAAAAACAAGGUCGUCUGGACGGACUGGAAGAAUGAGGCUAAAUGUUCCUGGCAAUAUCCGUGUUUGUGUCUGCAAAGCACAGAUGAGGUGUUGAGGGACUGACCUGGAGCGAAGAAGACAAUGGUCCUGAGGCAGGUAAAUUCUUUGUCAGUGAUGUCGAGCUCUCUCAGAGGUUUAACCAGCUCCUUGUGAAUACGGAAAGCCACUCUGGACACCUCCAUCUCAGCACCUUGUACUGGAAUAACAAAGUCAUUUCCUGCACAAGAAAAAAUAUGUGUUUAGGUAAAACUACAGAUAACUUUCAUUUGUCUGCAUGAAUUGGUCAUUUGUGCUACGAUAUUAGUCAGACUACAUUAAGGCCUAGCAGAAUUUAAGAGAUAUACAUAUGUUUUUCUCCUGAAACCCUGAUGAAAUGUAAUUGGCUAAACUACUGCAAUUGGAUGGGAGAGGGAUAUUUUUUUUCCCAUAAAUUUAAAGAAACCUUAUCAAAAACCUAAGAAUAUUUCAUUUCCAGGAUUGAGCUUUUUCCACUGAAUUAAAUUGUUAAGGGUAAAAGGCACAUCUAACCCAAAA